rnacentral:tRNA from 1 species
UGCCCCGUGGCUGAGUUGGUUACAGCGUCCGACUGUUAUUGUGGGUUCAUCGGAAGGUCGUGAGUUCGAGCCUCACCGGGGCAG